rnacentral:rRNA from 1 species
CCUGUGAGGGUUGCUGGAGGUAUCAGAAGUGCGAAUGCUGACAUAAGUAACGAUAAAGCGGGUGAAAAGCCCGCUCGCCGGAAGACCAAGGGUUCCUGUCCAACGUUAAUCGGGGCAGGGUGAGUCGACCCCUAAGGCGAGGCCGAAAGGCGUAGUCGAUGGGAAACGGGUUAAUAUUCCCGUACUUGGUGUUACUGCGAAGGGGGGACGGAGAAGGCUAUGUUGGCCGGGCGACGGUUGUCCCGGUUUAAGCGUGUAGGUGUGUGUUCCAGGUAAAUCCGGUUCACUUUAACACUGAGGCGUGAUGACGAGGCACUACGGUGCUGAAGCAACAAAUGCCCUGCUUCCAGGAAAAGCCUCUAAGCAUCAGGUAACAUCAAAUCGUACCCCAAACCGACACAGGUGGUCAGGUAGAGAAUACCAAGGCGCUUGAGAGAACUCGGGUGAAGGAACUAGGCAAAAUGGUGCCGUAACUUCGGGAGAAGGCACGCUGACACGUAGGUGAAGUGAUUUACUCACGGAGCUGAAGUCAGUCGAAGAUACCAGCUGGCUGCAACUGUUUAUUAAAAACACAGCACUGUGCAAACACGAAAGUGGACGUAUACGGUGUGACGCCUGCCCGGUGCCGGAAGGUUAAUUGAUGGGGUCAGCGCAAGCGAAGCUCCUGAUCGAAGCCCCGGUAAACGGCGGCCGUAACUAUAACGGUCCUAAGGUAGCGAAAUUCCUUGUCGGGUAAGUUCCGACCUGCACGAAUGGCGUAAUGAUGGCCAGGCUGUCUCCACCCGAGACUCAGUGAAAUUGAACUCGCUGUGAAGAUGCAGUGUACCCGCGGCAAGACGGAAAGACCCCGUGAACCUUUACUAUAGCUUGACACUGAACAUUGAGCCUUGAUGUGUAGGAUAGGUGGGAGGCUUUGAAGCGUGGACGCCAGUCUGCGUGGAGCCAACCUUGAAAUACCACCCUUUAAUGUUUGAUGUUCUAACGUGGACCCGUGAUCCGGGUUGCGGACAGUGUCUGGUGGGUAGUUUGACUGGGGCGGUCUCCUCCUAAAGAGUAACGGAGGAGCACGAAGGUUGGCUAAUCCUGGUCGGACAUCAGGAGGUUAGUGCAAUGGCAUAAGCCAGCUUGACUGCGAGCGUGACGGCGCGAGCAGGUGCGAAAGCAGGUCAUAGUGAUCCGGUGGUUCUGAAUGGAAGGGCCAUCGCUCAACGGAUAAAAGGUACUCCGGGGAUAACAGGCUGAUACCGCCCAAGAGUUCAUAUCGACGGCGGUGUUUGGCACCUCGAUGUCGGCUCAUCACAUCCUGGGGCUGAAGUAGGUCCCAAGGGUAUGGCUGUUCGCCAUUUAAAGUGGUACGCGAGCUGGGUUUAGAACGUCGUGAGACAGUUCGGUCCCUAUCUGCCGUGGGCGCUGGAGAACUGAGGGGGGCUGCUCCUAGUACGAGAGGACCGGAGUGGACGCAUCACUGGUGUUCGGGUUGUCAUGCCAAUGGCACUGCCCGGUAGCUAAAUGCGGAAGAGAUAAGUGCUGAAAGCAUCUAAGCACGAAACUUGCCCCGAGAUGAGUUCU